AGUAAAAAAUAAUUAUCAAAUAAAACUUCCCCCUUCCUUGUUUUCUCUCUCGCAGACCCCCUCCCCUCGAAACCCUCCUUUCGCAGCACCGGUCAACCAUCGUAUAGCCUCUAUCGAUCAGUCUUCCACCGAAUCUGCGCCAGACGUCACCAGAUCCAUACCAGACGCCCACUAAAUCUGUGCCAGACGCCACCAGAUCCACACCGGUCAACCAUCGUACAACCUCCACUGGUCAGUCCUCCACCAGAUCCGCGCUAGAUGCCACCGAAUUUGUGUCAGACGCCCACCAGAUCCACGCCAAACACCACCGGAUCCAUGCCAGACGCCCACCGAUUAGCCACCGUACAACGCCCAACGGUCGGUCCUUCACCGGAUCCGCGCUAGUUGCCUAGUCUAGCCUUGCGCCAGAUCCGGUCAAUCCUCACGCUAGAUCCGAUCGGUCCUCCACCGGAUUCACCGUACAACUUCGCUGCCCCUAUCAAGUUGAUUUGCUUAAACAUGGCUUGCUUGACCCUUAGUUCUUGAUCUUUAGACUUCAAAGCUCAAUGUAUAGAUUAAGUAAUAUACUUUGAUAAGAGGUUACUUAUUAAACAAUUUGUCACUUUUGUGUUUAUUGAAAGUUGAGUUUUGUAUACAAAAGCAAUAGUUGAGAUUUUAUUUUGUGCAUGUACAUGUGAAAGAGAAAUAUUGUUGUAAUUUGUGAGGAGUGUUCAUAUGAAAUGUCAUAAUUGAACAUAUGGAAUUUUCAAUGAAUAUAAUGAGUUGAUAGA